UCGACGAGGUUUUCUACAAGGAUUCAGUGAGAAGAGACUCCUGGCUGCAGCAAUAAAUCUGGUUUACUAGUCGUUUAAUGAAAGUGUUAAAAUCACAGCAAGCACAUCGUGGUUGUAAACUUUAGCCACUAGCCAUUUUAGCCAGUUGUGGCUAAAAAAAAGUGAAUGAUGGACACAGCUAGGGCGGACAUAGCCUAUGCUUUUCAUGGUUAAAGUGCCGAAAACUAAUUCAGGUCAAGUAAAGUCAGUGGAGGAGGAUGAAAACGGCAGGAUUGACAGGUGGCUGAGUCUUUUUCUGCAGUUACACCAUUACGCCAGUUGGUGGCGUCAAGUGACUGUCUUUGAGACAAUGUGCAGGCUCUGUCAGUCUCAGUAAUAACGAUGUUGGACAUGUGGGUAUUUAUUACUUAGUACUGAAAUAAUGUCUUAUCCUCAAUACUGUUGGUGCAUGUCGGGGAAGUUUUUAACUUUAUAGCAGAGGUGAGGUGAACGUUUUUAAAUGGAAUCAAGAAAGAAACCAUGUCAAACAGUCCGAGACGGAGAGAGAGCGAGAACAGCGCUGCAUGUUCAGUGUGUCUGGGUGGAAAAGACUGACUCACUUUCUGGCAGGUCUGUGGGGUUUUCAGUCCAGGCCCUGCGCCAGACAAGACAAGAGCAGGUCCUGAGUCAGUGCAGCGGGCCCCGAGUGGGCCGCAGCGUGGGAGCAGACGGGGAUAUGGAGCACCCCAUGAUUAAUCGGACCCAGCGGCCUGACAGCUUUACUGUCUACACUGAAAGUGAGUGACGUGACAAAACUAGAAUGAUGAAAUCGAGCUUUAGUGUUUCUUUGAUUACCAUGUUCUAGUUUUAUUGUGCCACAGUUCACUCUGUGUAGAUGGGAAGUUACAAACUAAACGGAUCAUUUUGACUGCAAUUAUUGAAAUGUAAUCCGAUCUAAGCUUUGUUUAACAAAACAUGUAAAUAAUCCAAGGAUGUAACCACA